rfam:Schistosoma mansoni, Puerto Rico, WGS project CABG01000000 data, contig: 0077
GCACUGCUGAGGAGUCCUAUGAUAGGAUGAAACAGCCGUCCAGUGC